GUGAACGCUGGCGGUAGGCCUAACACAUGCCAGUCGAACGGCAGCACAGUAAGAGCUUGCUCUUCCGGGUGGCGAGUGGCGGACGGGUGAGGAAUACAUCGGAAUCUACUUUUUCGUGGGGGAUAACGUAGGGAAACUUACGCUAAUACCGCAUACGACCUACGGGUGAAAGCAGGGGAUCUUCGGACCUUGCGCGAUUGAAUGAGCCGAUGUCGGAUUAGCUAGUUGGCGGGGUAAAGGCCCACCAAGGCGACGAUCCGUAGCUGGUCUGAGAGGAUGAUCAGCCACACUGGAACUGAGACACGGUCCAGACUCCUACGGGAGGCAGCAGUGGGGAAUAUUGGACAAUGGGCGCAAGCCUGAUCCAGCCAUACCGCGUGGGUGAAGAAGGCCUUCGGGUUGUAAAGCCCUUUUGUUGGGAAAGAAAAGUAGCAGGUUAAUACCCCGCUGUUCUGACGGUACCCAAAGAAUAAGCACCGGCUAACUUCGUG
rnacentral:rRNA from 1 species